UAUAAUAGAAGAUAACUCAUAUGGGGUAUAUCGAAAGCCAAAUUCAUACACAGCAUGCAACUGGCUCACGCAUGAGCUAACAGCGAGCAACUCGUUCUUUGUUCGUUCGUCAGACAUUGGUAAUAGAAUAGGCAUCGUAAGCCUCCUCAAAACUUAUUCCGGAACCUACUUCAAUUCUUGAAGGUGAGUCGAGAAUGGGGCGUGGCUCGGCUUGGUUAUGCGUGGUUGUCUACAUACAUAUUUGUGUGGUUGGCGCGAUGAAUUUUCACUGGAAAACUGAAAAGCCAAACGACGAAAGCGACGACGACGACGUGACUUCCGUUGCCACAUGCGAAAAACUUUUCUCACUCCCAGUGUAUAUGUGUGUGUGUGGCUGUCAACAGGAUAUGUCUACUGCGUCGACGGCUUGUUGAUGACAUAAUUAAUGCCUUGCUGUGACAACAACAGCAAACAACUGCAACACCAACCAACAGAAACAACAACUAGGCAGCUGACUGCCACGUUCGGCUUUCGGUUUUUGAAGUUUUUCCCCCCAAUAAGAGGACAAGCUUUUCCGGUUUUCCUCAUGUCGCUGCUGCUGCUGUUGCUGCUGCUGUUGCUGCUGCUGCGGGGAAAACUGCAGAAAAUGUGAAGUGGAAAAUUAAAAAGCAAAAUGCAAUUUUGAUUGACAUACAACAACAAAGCGAAGCGUCGACGCACAGCUGAUGCUAUUAAAGGUUAAA